UACGAAGGGGGCUAGCGUUGCUCGGAAUCACUGGGCGUAAAGCGCACGUAGGCGGCUUGCUAAGUCAGGGGUGAAAUCCUGGAGCUCAACUCCAGAACUGCCCUUGAUACUGGCGGUCUCGAGUCCGGGAGAGGUGAGUGGAACUGCGAGUGUAGAGGUGAAAUUCGUAGAUAUUCGGAAGAACACCAGUGGCGAAGGCGACUUACUGGACAAAUAUUGACGCUGAGGUGCGAAAGCGUGGGGAGCAAACAGG
rnacentral:rRNA from 1 species